CCUACGAUGGCCGAGUACAAGGCAUUAAGCUUUUAACUUAAACACAGAAUAUCACUUCGUGGGA
rnacentral:tRNA from 1 species